rnacentral:rRNA from 1 species
GGAUCGCAAGACCUUGCGCUCUUUGAGCGGCCGAUGCCUGAUUAGCUAGUUGGUGAGGUAAAGGCUUACCAAGGCGACGAUCAGUAGCUGGUCUGAGAGGACGACCAGCCACACUGGGACUGAGACACGGCCCAGACUCCUACGGGAGGCAGCAGUGGGGAAUUUUGGACAAUGGGGGAAACCCUGAUCCAGCCAUGCCGCGUGAGUGAAGAAGGCCUUCGGGUUGUAAAGCUCUUUCAGCCGGAACGAAACGGUCACGGCUAAUAUCCGUGACUACUGACGGUACCGGAAGAAGAAGCACCGGCUAACUACGUGCCAGCAGCCGCGGUAAUACGUAGGGUGCAAGCGUUAAUCGGAAUUACUGGGCGUAAAGCGUGCGCAGGCAGUUUUGUAAGUCAGAUGUGAAAUCCCCGGGCUUAACCUGGGAACUGCGUUUGAAA